CUUAUGGUUAUAUUAAACCGAUUGCAUGUAUCUAUAUACUCUAAGCAUGUAUCAUAUUUGUUUUCUCAGCCUCACACUUUAACUCAGGUUCGCUGAAGCAUCGGCAAGCUGAAUGUGAGAUGGUAUGUUGAUGUCCUGUACAUUGACACGGAAAUGAGGCAUUGAAGAUGUUAUGUUGGGGACAAUGCAUGAUAGAACAG